rfam:Mus musculus chromosome 8, GRC primary reference assembly.
GCAUGUGAGGGUGAUCUGGCUGUGUCAUCUGUCACCCCAUUGACUGCCAGGGUUGAUCCAGCUGAUAUGGCUGGUUAGGCUGGUGUCCCCUUCCUCCCUUACAAUUCCAUGUGCCUCCCUCGCAAAGCUGCAUGUUGGAUAGAAGAAAAUGACCUUCCCCGAAUAGAGGAGGACCAGUGUUUGGUCCUCUGCUAGAACCUCAAAACAAGCUCUCAAGAAUCUACUUCUUAGAUGAGGAAGAGAGACUGGGAGUGGGGCAGCUUGGAAUUCCAUGGUGCUUGCGUUUUU